rnacentral:rRNA from 1 species
GAUGAACGCUGGCGGCGUGCCUAAUACAUGCAAGUCGAGCGAAGCGGGGACGGGUGAGUAACACGUGGAUAACCUCCUAUAAGACUGGGAUAACUUCGGGAAACCGGAGCUAAACCGGAUCCUUAUAGAUGGAUCCGCGCUGCAUUAGCGAGUUGGUAAGGUAACGGCUUACCAAGGCAACGAUGCAUAGCCGACCUGAGAGGGGGAUGGGGCACACUGGAACUGAGAAACGGUCCAGACUCCUGCGGGAGGCAGAAGUAGGGAAUCUUCCGCAGUGAGGGAGAGCCUGACGGAGCAACGCCGCGGGAGUGAUGAAGGUCUUCGGAUCGUAAAACUCUGUUAUUAGGGAAGCGGUACCUAAUCAGAAAGCCACGGCUAACUACGUGCCAGCAGCCGCGGUAAUUC